CAACAGGUUAGUGGAGGACAGACAGGGAUGAGGGGGACAGAAGAGGAAAGACAGGACAGGAGAACAGACUGGACCAACAGGUUAGUGGAGGACAGACGGGGAUGAGGGCGGACAGAAGAGGAAAGACAGGACAGGAGAACAGACUGGACCAACAGGUUAGUGGAGGACAGACAGGGAUGAGGGGGGACAGAAGAGGAAAGACAGGACAUGAAGACAGACUGGACCAACAGGUUAGUGGAGGACAGACAGGGAUGAG
ensembl:lncRNA